ensembl:lncRNA
AUGUCAGUCACCAUAGCCAAAGAUGUGCUGGACUCCACCCCUGUGGAGACACUCAGAUGCUCAAAGUCCCCUGACACUGCUCUUGUUAAGGACAGGAACCGCCCUCCGUCUGUGAGAAGUGAGAAGCCAUUUUCAAAAGUCAGUUUGACUAAAAGGUCUAAAGCCCUUGUGUCUUCGAGUGGCUCCUCCACAGACCACCAUGUAAUUGACACAUGCAGUGAGGAUGUCACUCUGCCCCCCAGGAGUAUGUCGGUUGUGAGCGACACCAGUUUGAAGAGAACCUCUCCUCUCCAUGGUAGUGGAUUGAGUGCAAGUUGUGAACCUCUUGUGGCUCUACAAGACAGAACAGUGGCAGUCAGCCAAGAAGGCUUUAGCAAAACUGCAAAGGAUUGGCCAACUGAGAGUUCAUCUGUUGGGCAGAAUGCAAGUGAGGAGUGUUUGAUAGCCACUAACAUGUUAGACUCUCUACUGGAGAGCCUUGACCUGUUGCCUGACAUGAGUGCUGCCAAUGAGAUCACAAGGACAGAAUGCCAUACCUCUAACGCAAUGGACAAGACAGGUUCACAGUCAGCGCUUGUGAGUCAACAAGAAAUAAACAUAUCUGACACCAGUCUCAUAGUGAAAACUAUAAUGGACACAUUGAAGACAGACGACCCAGAGAUGACUUCAGCAGAAGAAAAUCUGGAUAGACUCCUGUCAAUUGAAGCCCUUCAAGAUGCGUCUGGCAACCUGAUCGCAAAGGUCCAUGGUCUCAUUCAGGAGAUAACCAUAAGCCGCCAGCUUCAAUCCACGACUGGCCACAGAAGCCUCUCUCAACCAGCGCUGCCAAAGCCAGCACUGAGGAAGCUGUCAAAGGACGAUGCGUCAGAGCUCGUUUACAGCUUUGCCCAGACUUCUGUUAGCAGACUCCUGGGGCAGUGUUUGGUUAGGCCUAUGCCACCCACCGCUGACAGGGUUUUGGAUCAGGUCAUCAAGUUGAUGACAGACAUGGUGAUGGACAGCCUGACUGAUCUGUCCAAGUCUGCAAUGGAGGAUGGUAAGUGA